UACGAAGGGGGCUAGCGUUGUUCGGAAUCACUGGGCGUAAAGGGCGCGUAGGCGGCCGAUCAAGGUCGGGGGUGAAAGCCUGUGGCUCAACCACAGAAUUGCCUUCGAUACUGUUUGGCUUGAGACCGGAAGAGGUUAGUGGAACUGCGAGUGUAGAGGUGAAAUUCGUAGAUAUUCGCAAGAACACCAGUGGCGAAGGCGGCUGACUGGUCCGGUUCUGACGCUGAGGCGCGAAAGCGUGGGGAGCAAACAGG
rnacentral:rRNA from 1 species